UACGUAGGGUGCGAGCGUUGUCCGGAAUUAUUGGGCGUAAAGGGCUCGUAGGCGGUUUGUCACGUCGGGAGUGAAAACUCAGGGCUCAACCCUGAGCCUGCUUCCGAUACGGGCAGACUAGAGGUAUGCAGGGGAGAACGGAAUUCCUGGUGUAGCGGUGAAAUGCGCAGAUAUCAGGAGGAACACCGGUGGCGAAGGCGGUUCUCUGGGCAUUACCUGACGCUGAGGAGCGAAAGCUAGGGUAGCGAACGGG
rnacentral:rRNA from 1 species